GGGACCCCCUGGGGGUGGGGUGGCCGAGGACGUCACUGGCGGGUCCGGGUUGUGCCCGCGCCGUUUCCUCACCUCGGUCCGCCCCGCGACAUUUCCGCGUUGUCUCCGAGUGCGGCUCCGCUCGCGUUCGCCUCCAAGCGAAGUCCCCGAGGCGUCCCCUGCGGCCGUGGAGCCCCGCGAGGGGCAACGACUCCGGCGCGGGGUGGCGGUGUUGAAGGCGCAGGUGGCCGUGGUGGCUGCCCUCGGCACGCUGGUGGCCACCUUGACAGCAGCACCGAGGUGCGCAUGGCUGCUCCUGUACCCAAGGUCCCUGCACGCAGACCUGAGGACAUUCACCUGGCAGGUCCAGAACAUCCUGCGCCACCGUGGUGUCACCUCCCACCACGAUGUCCCCCCCUCCACCAGGCCCUGGCCGCCCUCGAGGCCGACCCGGAGGCCCCCUGGGCCUGUGGCCGUGUUGUAAGAAAUAGAGGUUAUGAAGGCCCCACCUUGAUGUUAGUUCUCCCAUGUUGUCUCGUUCUGUUACCAACUGUUAUUCUCAAUGUUGUGUAAUAGUUGUAAUUACUGUAUCUUACUUCUACCCCAAGGAUUCAUUUAUGUACCCCCUGCCCUCCUACAAGUUACCGUUUAUUGUAUCCAUUGCAUUCAUCUGUGUAGGCCGUGUUCACCUACGUGUUUGUAUGUUGCAGUCCAAUGUAUUCAUUGUAUUCGUUUGUG